UAGAGUUUGAUCAUGGCUCAGAUUGAACGCUGGCGGCAGGCCUAACACAUGCAAGUCGAGCGGUAGCACAGGAGAGCUUGCUCUCUGGGUGACGAGCGGCGGACGGGUGAGUAAUGUCUGGGAAACUGCCUGAUGGAGGGGGAUAACUACUGGAAACGGUAGCUAAUACCGCAUGACCUCGCAAGAGCAAAGUGGGGGACCUUCGGGCCUCACGCCAUCGGAUGUGCCCAGAUGGGAUUAGCUAGUAGGUGGGGUAAUGGCUCACCUAGGCGACGAUCCCUAGCUGGUCUGAGAGGAUGACCAGCCACACUGGAACUGAGACACGGUCCAGACUCCUACGGGAGGCAGCAGUGGGGAAUAUUGCACAAUGGGCGCAAGCCUGAUGCAGCCAUGCCGCGUGUGUGAAGAAGGCCUUAGGGUUGUAAAGCACUUUCAGCGAGGAGGAAGGGUUCAGUGUUAAUAGCACUGUGCAUUGACGUACUCG
rnacentral:rRNA from 1 species